rnacentral:rRNA from 1 species
AUACGUAGGUGACAAGCGUUAUCCGGAUUUACUGGGCGUAAAGGGCGUGUAGGCGGUCUUGCAAGUCAGAAGUGAAAUUCCUGAGCUCAGCUCGGGCGCUGCUUCUGAAACUGCAGGACUUGAGUGCUGGAGGGGAUAGCGGAAUUCCUAGUGGAGCGGUAAAAUGCGCAGAUAUUAGGAAGAACACCGGUGGCGAAGGCGGCUAUCUGGGCUGAAACUGACGCUGAGGCGCGAAAACGGGGGGAGCAAGCAGGAUAAAAUACCCGCGUAGUCCACGCCGUAAACGAUGAAUACUAGGUGUAGGGGGUAUCGACUCCCUCUGUGCCGCAGUUAACACAAUAAGUAUUCCGCCUGGGGAGUACGGCCGCAAGGUUGAAACUCAAAGGAAUUGACGGGG